rnacentral:rRNA from 1 species
UACAGAGACUGCAAGCGUUAUUCGGAUUCACUGGGCGUAAAGGGUGCGGCAGGCGCCAUGUGUGUGAGGCGUGAAAGCCCGAUGCUCAACAUCGGAAUUGCACCUCAAACUACAUGGCUAGAGCAUUGGAGAGGGAAGCGGAAUCACGGUGUAGCAGUGAAAUGCGUUAGAUACUCGAGAUGACGGAACAGCCAGGAAGGGCGGA